rnacentral:tRNA from 1 species
GCCUGGCUGGCUCAGUCAGUAGAGCAUGCAACUCUUGAUCUCAGGGUCAUGAGUUCAAGCCCUAUGUUGGGCA